CGAUUUAGUGUAAUGGACUUUAAAACUUUAGAGCUACAAUUCGAUUUAAGAUAAUUUGUGUUAGACUUAGAAUAAUUGAUAAAAUUUCAAACUCAAAUUAUUUCAUGAAUCGAAUAGUUUUGUGCUAAGGAGAGAAAUGAUCGAUUAACUUGAUAUUCAGUGUUUAAGAUUUAAUUAAGUAUGACGGGCGACAAUUAGAUUAAAAAAAAAGCAAUUACCAGAAAAACAAAAUAAUAAAUUAUUGAUAAAAAUUUAAACUCAUUAUGAAAAUUUCCAAAAUUGUCACUUGAAACAAAGAUAGUUCCUCGUCAUCGUGGAUAAUUUCACAAUAGGUUACGGCUAGUUCAUGGAAAUAUGCUAGAUCCCGAAAACAGAGUCAUAAAUUAGUUAUUAACAUGUGGUAAAUUGAUAACAAAAGAGGGACAAAUUUGGUUAUAAAACAAGCGGCCAAUAAUUCCGAAUUAAUACUUCUGAAUGUAACGUCGCUAAUUGAAGUGAAUUGAAAUCAUGGUACGUGACAGUUCGUGAAGUUUUAAUUCUUGGUGAUAACUGAUAAGACUUGUGAAAUUGAAGCUACCAGUCCCCUUUUGGAAAAUGAACUGGGACAAGAAUUAUAACAAUUAACACUCACCGAUUAUUCAAAUCAACAUCGCUUCUCAUUCAUCGUCCUAAAGCAUUUUGAAGAGCCCUUGGAAGAACCCUAGCUGCCCAGUCAUGAAGUGGAUAGUAUUUUUUGUAUGUCUAAUGGCAUGUGUACAGCCAGUUACUACAUGGAUUGAAGAUUUUCCAACUUCGCAACCCCGACUUCUGAACACCAUACUCGUAAUAGAAGGGGAAAGAACCCCGCAACAACCCCCUUGGAACCAGCCAAGUUCAAAAUUGAUCUGCUACAUCCCUGUAACCCCUUAUAUGGCGCAGAAGACCAAUCACAGUGUCUUGAAAGUUCUGGAUAUUGAUUUGUUAAGUUCUUAAAUAUUUAAUUUUCAGUUUUCAGUUGUAGUAUUAGUUUUUUACGAGACAUAGGUAGUACAAAGUGCCACCUAAGGGGAGUUGUUUCCCUCUUUAUUAAAAUUAUUUUUUUACUUUUAAUAAAAACAUAAAAACAAA